AAAUAGACCACAAAAAGGAUACUUGUUCACGUUAUAAGAGCUGAAAUGAAAAGCAGAGCAUCAGUCACCUUACUGGACUUCAGCUGGGGACCGACCUGUCGGGCGAUUCAUCUCUUGCUGCUCUGCACGUGUCUGGGAAUGACAUCGGUAGCAAAAGGAGGAAACAAAAUAACCUGUUCAAGGUCACCCGCGAGGAAGCGGCAGGGCGGCGAUUUGAACUCAAGGCUGUCUGAGCGCUUAACCACCAUGCCAUCUGCCUUCACACACCAGACGCGCUGACCAGGGGGCAGGUUCCGGCGAAAACAUCUGGCUGCACGUAGAAUUCACUUUCAUUUUACAUUUGAGAAAACUGAACUCAAGCAUGUUAUGUAAUGGAAAUGAGUCACUCAGCUACUCAGAUGCCACCUCCUCCUGGAAGCCUACCUUGACCACCAAAAACGGAAUGUCCCUCGGUGUAUCCCCACAGCCCCUUCUCACGGCACUCGCCGUGGGGUCCUAACGGCUUGUUUGACAUUCUGUCUUCCUCUGUGAAUUCAGGAACGCGGUCUCUCUUGUUCAGUGCCACAACCCCUGCGUCUAUCCCAUGGUUAGGCCAGAGCAGUGGUUCACCAAACAUUUGUUGGAGAAACGGAUGAGUUUAAGAGUCGAUUGUUCAGGAAAAUGUAGCUGAUGGCUUCCUGGCGGAGUUCUCUGCCUCGCCUCCCUCAUGGCUUCGUCGUAACGCUUCCUCACUGUUUCAGUUUCCUGUGGCAGCUGCAGCAAAUGACCACAAACUGCGUGUUUUAAAAGAAUAGGAAUUCCUUCUCUCCCCAUUCUGGGAGCCAGCGGUCUGAGGUCCAGCAGAGCUGUGCUCCCUCCGGCUGCUCUGGGAGAAUCUGCUCCUCGCCUCUUCCAGCUUCCGGCGACCCGUGGCCGCGUGGCUCGCAUCGCUGCCUCCACCUCUGUCUUCACAUGGCCUGUGCCUCCUCCUGUCUGUCUCUGUGCGUCUCUCAUAAGGACACUAGCAUUGGAUUUAGGGCCCACUUGGAUAAUCCAGGAUGAUCUCUCAAGAUCCUUAAUGACAUUGCAAAGACCCUAUUUCCAAAUAAAGCCAUGUCCACAGGUCCUGGAGAUGAGGAUGUGAACAUAUUGUUGGGAGGCCACCAUU
rnacentral:lncRNA from 1 species